UACGUAGGGUGCAAGCGUUGUCCGGAAUUAUUGGGCGUAAAGAGCUCGUAGGCGGUUUGUCGCGUCGAAUGUGAAAACCCGGGGCUCAACCCCGGGCCUGCAUUCGAUACGGGCAGACUAGAGUUCGGUAGGGGAGACUGGAAUUCCUGGUGUAGCGGUGAAAUGCGCAGAUAUCAGGAGGAACACCGGUGGCGAAGGCGGGUCUCUGGGCCGAUACUGACACUGAGGAGCGAAAGCAUGGGUAGCGAACAGG
rnacentral:rRNA from 1 species